rnacentral:rRNA from 1 species
ACUACAACGCAUGACCUCAUUGGGGUAGGACAACCCGCUAGACUUAAGCAUAUCAAUAAGCGGAGGAA